AUUUAAAUAGUUUAAUAAAAAUAUUGAAUUGUGAUUUCAAAGAUAUAAAAAUAUUAUUUUAAAUU
rnacentral:tRNA from 1 species